rfam:Gossypium raimondii Chr07_contig_25, whole genome shotgun sequence.
UGUUGAAAUUUUUAUCUAUUUUUAUUAUUAAAAAUUGGUGUAAUUGACAGAAUAACCAAACAGUUACCUCAUUCUAAUGUACAUGGACUAAUUUUUAACUGUAAAAAUGGAUGGAAUUUUUAACA